CAAGAGACGCCAGAGAGCUUGCUCUCUCUCUCCGUGCUUGCACAAAGAAGAGGUCAUGUGAGCACAAAGUGACAUGGCAACUGCCUACAAGCCAAGAGAAGAGGCCUCAGAAGGAAACCUACUUCACUGGUACCUUGAUCUUGGACUUCCCAGCCCACAGAACUAUCACGCUUGAUCAUGGGGAGCUGAAACCACAGAAAGUGAAACCAUGGAUAAGGAAAGACCACUGUGCUCACCAGCUCUUCAAUGGGAAGCCUACUAUGUUAAAUCUUAAUUAUUUAUGGUUUAAGAAAUAUUACAUGUGAAAAUUUAAAAAGCAAAACUGGAAAAUGAAAAUAAAAUGAGUACACUCAAAUUUAGAAAACAAGCACUUUGGUUCGUCUGAAGGGACAAUCCCAUUCCUGUCAUGUCACUCUAGGCUCUUCACGUGUAUAUUUAAACAAGAGACUGACCAACAUAGAGAACAAAAUGUUGACCUAUCAGUUUAAGAAAGAUGCCGCUAUUCUUAAAGUGACCAUUUAUAUUAUUGUUACAUUGUAAAAAUUGGCAACUUGUCAUUAAAUUUUAUUUCAGUGAAAUCAUUGAGUACUUAGAAACACUGCUUUCUCUAGAGUUAACACAAUGUGGGAGAA
rnacentral:lncRNA from 1 species